rnacentral:lncRNA from 1 species
CUGUCCCCGGGGAGCCAGCGGUGGGUGUGCCAGGCGCCACUGCCCUCGUCCACAUCCGCGCCGCUUGGACGUGGAAAGCGAGAAGGCGGAGCGCAUUGCCCUGGAGUCCCUGUGCCCCUCUCCCGGGGCCGCUGGGAUGUUCCGAGUCCAAGGAAUGGACCCUCUCUCUCCUGCCCGUGGCCUCCCACGGCUGGGGUCUCUGAACAGCGAGGACAGAUGGGGCAUCCUUUCCUCACCCCUCACCCGCCUUCCCAGGGGAUGUGCCCAGCCAUGGCCUCUCAGGGCAGGUGGAGCCCAGCGCGCCCUUUCUCCCUUGGUGCCCUGCGCUGCUGGCUCACCGGGUGUUAGAGCCGAUGGAGGAACGGGGCUCUGGGGUUGGGUCCUGGGCAGGGAUGGAGAUGGUGACAUUGUAGACGCAAUCAUCAUGGGUUAAGUGUCCCCAAAAGCAGAGCCUGAGACAGGGCUUGGUUACAGGGCGUCUGUCUGGCGGAAGAGCUCAGGAAGCAGAAGGCAGGGAAGGGGGUUGAUACCAGGAGGAACUGGGGGGGCUGCCCCAUUCUCCCUCCGAGGAGCCUGCCGUAGCCUCUGGGAUCGUGCCCCGGAAAGAAGGCAGCUGUGGCUCUGAGGGUCCCCAAGGGUGUUGGUCUCCUGUGCCUUUGUUUGGGCCGAGCUCGUGUGGGGACUGGGUGGGCCUGAGCAGACUCAAAUGACAUGGGGUCCAAAACAGACGCUGGCAGCCACGGUCAAGGUCAGAAAGACCAUGGUUUUCACCGCAAAAGCUCUAAAAUGGGAGCUCCGUCCCAUGCCCCGGGGAGUCCGGUUUUGUCUUCCCCACCAAUUACAUGUGGCAUUUUGAAUGGAAAGGGAAUAGAGGGGAAAUACCUUUUCAGGCAGACUUGAAUCCUCUCGGCUAAGAAGGUGCUUGAGCCGCGGGAGGGGCCUGAAUGAGUGUCAGGAGCCGAGGGCGGAGGUGGAGGCGAGGUGGUCUCCGCCACAUGCCGAGGGGACAGUGUAGGAGCUACUCCCCCAGGCUCCUUUGCUGCAGGAGCAGGUGACCAACGGGCCAAAUGAAGGGAUGAAUGGUACUGGUGGCCUCGUGUCCUUGCGGCUCAGCUCACGGUGUCACCCUCCAGGAACCCGUCUGUGCGCCGCUGCCUGUAGUCUCUCCUCCAGGUCCCUUCCCUGUUGACCUAAACCUCGGGCCCAGGGCAGCCGGCACGGCUCCUCGGGACUGUGGAAAGUAACAUGAUGUCUUUUCUAUUAAAGGAAAUCUUGGUUGCUCCAUUUUGAUCCGGUUUCAGCAGAAACACCCCUGCGACCCCGCUCCCUCCUUACUUCUCUCCCAGCAACAGUUUGUUUCAGAUUAGCCAACAGGUACAUCAUCUGCGUUAGGGGUCAACAGGGGAGGGUCCUUUGUUGGGCACGCACACUUUUUGAGCACCCGCGCCCUUCUGCAGAAGUAAAGAGCCUUGUCGAGAUUUCACCUUGUCCACGUGUCUCACUUUCCGACACUGGCGGCCCCAGCCAGAGUUAUUUUAAUUUCCACCAAAACCCUGGAUCAUGAAAGCCCCUUCCCUCCGCUUUUUGGGGAGCAGACACAUCCCACCAAAAAUGUUCUUUCUGACUCGCCUCUCCACCUGUGAGAUUUCAAUUUAAAACCUGAAGACAGCUGACGCGGCUUUUAACAGAUGAGUUCCCUGAAAUCAGCCAACACCUGUCAGGUCCCAUUGUACCUUUACAGAAAAUUAGAAAUGACUUCCCAGCAGGAAGACGGCGCCGAGCACAGCAGGACCUCUGCCUAGGGAACCUGGCGGCCUGGAGACAGUGCCAUCCGCUGGGCCACUAACCCCUUCUCUGCUUCUGAGACGUUUCGAACACGCUAGUCGUGUGCCCAUAACGUCGUCUUCACACUGAGGAGCUCAGGGCACAAAGGUCUCCCGCAGCGAGGAGAGCCGGUGGACGCUGCUCAGCGCGUGCCUGGCCCACGCCAGCGCUCGGCCCACGGCUGUCAUUAUCAUUUCUCCUGCUUCUUCUCUUCAUCCCUGCCUUGACAGAUGUGAGUUCAGAUCUGCUGCUUUACUGCUGUGUGGCUUAAGGUGAGUUCCCAAACCUCUCUGAGCCUCAUGGUUGUUUUCUCUUACGAGUGAAAUACGGCAGCACCUCCUGAAUUUGUUCCAGGGGCUGAGUGAGGUGGCCGCCUGUGCGCCCCUCACGUCGGUGCCCUUAGUAACCAUCACGCCCUCCCCGGCUUCCUGCCCAGUUCAUGUGCUCCCAGCUAGCAUGUGCUUUCUUUGGCCUGGCGUCGUCGUUAGCUGUCGAUGAUGAGCUGUAGUCCCAGGCGCCUUGGGAACACGAGUUGUCUGCUUUCCACCCCUGUAGCCAUGUGGAGGCCCAGCACAAACUGCCCAUUCAGUGGGCAUUUGAGGAGUGUGUUUGGUGGGUUUCCUCUGGUGGCAGGAAGGGACCGUGUCCAGUGCAACAGGGAAGGUAUUCGCUUUUGAGGAGCCACGUCCCUUUCUCUGAGUUGGGAGGGAGACUCAGGGCCCCGUUGUUGACUUGAGGGGCUGGGCCAUCACCUUUCUGCCGCUGCUCCCAUCCCGGCAGAAAAGCCUGAGCUCUGCCCUUGUCAGACAGGUGCACAAGCCCUGGGGAGGGAGUGGGGUGCGAGGCACUGGAAGCCUCAUGAAGGGACAUGGCAUUUGCCACCUGCCAGUGUCCCACUCCACGUGCCAUCUCUGCCAACAUCAGAAGACUGGAAUGAUGAGCAAGACUCUGCUUAGGGGUUCCCCGAAGGGGUGUGUGUGUGUUGGGGUCGGGGUGCUGUAUGUGUGAUGUGAUGUGUGUUGCUGUGGGUGGGGGGUGUGUGUUUGGUUGUGUGUGGGGGGUUGCUGUAUAUGUGAUGUGUGGGGCGUGUGUGUUUGGAUGUGUGGGGUAUGUGUUGCAUACAUGAUGUGUGUUGGUGCAUGUGGGGGUGUGAGUUUCGAUGUGUGGGGGGUGUGCUGUAAUGUGAUGUGUGUUGAUGCGUGUGUUGUGUAUGUGAUGUGUGUUGUGUGUGUCGGUGUGGGUGUGUCAGGUGUGUGAGUUCAGUGGCAGCAGGAAGGCUGGUCCGUAGGGGUCCCCAUACUUGGAGCCCCUUCCGAUCCUGCUUCGUGUGACUGCGGAAGUGUGUUCUCCAGUCACAGCGUGACUUAGGCCAUUAUUGACCGUGACCUAAACGUUCUCUGGGCAGAACGCGAGGGAGAGACUGCUGGUGCCACUUCUCUGUCAUCCACGGACCUCCAGUGAAGGAUUACUCGUUCCCUUCUUUUUGUGAAUUAGAACGUCUGUUGGCAAAUGAAAAUGCACCGAGUGUGAACGCGCAGCACAGAAAUAGCCCUGGCCCUGAGGAUCAGAUGCUCUCGCUGUGAAGGGCGAGUCCUCACCCCAAGGAGGAGUGGCAGGGAGGGGACUGCGCUGUCCCGCCCGUCGUGGGGGCGACGAGCCCAAAGUCAGAGCACUUACAGCAGCAAAGUCGAUGGAAAAAAGUUCUAAGUAACGUGUGAAAGCUCCUUCCCCCCAAAGACCUCUAAGGAAAUGGUUGGUAAUAUGAAGCCCUUCAGCGUUAUCUCGCCCAGUUUUUCUUCCUGUUUGUGUUGUGUUGUGUUUGGGGAAAAGAUAUCCUGGCUCAUCCUGUAACAGGAUGGCCAGCCGGGCAGCAGUCAUUUCUGGAAAUGGCUGGACCAGGGAGCUGUGAAAACAACUCUGGGGAAUAAACAGCUGCUGCUGACGGAAGCAUUUCUAAUCAUGAAGGUUUUUUUUAUUUUAUGGGCUGUUUCAUGUGUAGGUAGGUCAUGGGCUUGUCCUCUAAAGGUGAAGGACAGUGACCACUAGUAACAGAGAAAUGACGGAAAUUCCCGUUGUGGCUCAGUGGUUAACGAACCCGAUUAGCACUCAUGAGGACGUGGGUUCAGUUCCCUGGCCUCACUCAGUGGGUUGAGGAUCCGGCGUUGCCGUGACUGGUGGUGUAGGUCGCAGAUGCGGCUCGGAUCCCACGUUGCUGUGGCUGUGGUGUAGGCUGGUGGCUACAGCUCCGAUUAGACUCCUAGCCUGGGAACCUCCGAAUGCCGUGGGAACAGCCCUGGAAAAGNNNNNNNNNNNNNNNNNNNNNNGGGGAAGGAGAGAGAGAGAAAAGUGGCUUGGUCAUCCAGCUUUACCACGCUGCCCUUGGCUCUUACAGGAUGCUGCCAGCACACGCAGGUGUGAAAAGACAUCCUUUUAGACAAAGCAGUUUUCCUAAAAGCAGCUGUUCCCUAUGGCAGGCCUCCCAUCCGUGGGGAUAUUCGUGCUGGUUUUGUAGCGAAGGUUCCCCUUUAUCCCCCGCUGGAGAGACGGCACCUGUGUGCCAUCCCCGACGCAGUGGGUUCCAUUGUCUGUGUUCUGGGUGACGGGCCUCACAGAGAGGCCCCUGUCCCCUGCAGCGUGACCUGUGCUGUGCACCCCAGUAACUGGGCUGUGGCCCAAGGCCGCAUGCUGGGCACAGAGCCGUGUUCCUUCCGUUCCCCCCCCCCCCCCCCCCCCCCCCCCCCCCCCCCCGCCACCACUGACAGGAACUUUUCACUUGUUUCCUUGGAAGGAAUGAGAGUCCCCAGCGUGUACCUGUCAUUGCGCAGUGUCCUCUGCAGUGUCCUCCUCAGGGUUGGUUGAAGACACAGGUUUUCUGUGACCCUCCUGGCAGUGAGAGGUCCCCGUCUGUUUGCAGCCCUGAGCUCACGGCCACCACACACCUGUUUGCCUGGCUCUGUGGUGCCACCCAGGCCACUCUCUGCUUUAGUUCCAAGCAGCGCAGGGGCACCAGGUACCCUUCCUGGCUCAUCAGACGCCCCCUGCAGCUCCCUUGUGAUUCCGUGUUUCCUGCUCUGGCUCCCAUGUUCCCAAUUCCCAACGCAGAAUUCAGAAUCCUCUUCCAGGCCCAGCUCCCCACCCCCGGCCCCUGCGUGAGCCCGCACUGCUCCCUCCACCCCACCCAGACCCCUAAGUCCAGCCCCAUCCCUCUUGUUUGUGAAACCACCCAAGUGCCAGGUUUUGCACAACCAGCAGUGGUUUCUUCUCCUGGGGACACUCGGGCCUUGUUGGAUCUGGCUUGUUAUUCACUUGUCCAUUUGCCUUCCAAGGAAAUCAUACCCUUCCCGGGGCCAGAGUCUGGCUCUUAGACCCUGCGAGAGACCCGGGGCUGGUGUGGAGAGUGAGCUGAGCUGACCAGCCACUGCUGGCUUCAUCCAGGGAGGACACGGAGACAGAGACCCGGGGCUCAGUGUCAGGCCGACCAUGUGACCCCGGUGAGUCACCUGACCUCUCUCAGCAGGGCCAUGGGGACCAAGAAGGUCUGAGUGAGUCACCCCCACCCCCGCCCCCGCCCUCACUUAGCCCUGUGCAGCCACCCCCGCCCCGUGCCUUGGGCAGAGCGGAGGCGGUAACUUGUUACUGUUUCUAAAUGUGACCUGCCUCUCCUCACUGUCCCCGGCGUUUCCCUUCUCUCCCUCUACCUGUGUUCCCAACACUAAUCCAGGUGGACACACCUGCAGCAGCGGGAAUUCUCCGGGCACCGCCACACAUGGAUGCUAGGGACACGGCUAAGUGAGAGCUUGGCUCUCAGAAUAUAGCUCGUUGCCCUGCUGUCCCUGCAGGAAAUGUGUUCAUGUGUGACUUUCCAUUUGCGGCCACGCAGACCCCAGUGAGGUUUCUGCCGGCACCACCAGAAACAGUAAGAUUGAAGAUAGAUUUUUCUCUGAGAAGUGCAGAAUUCGAAUUUCUUUUUCCAACUCUUCCUGUUUGUAUUCUGUGUCCUGGUUUGUGCAGAAGAACCCGUAUCUGCCUCUGGUAGGCUUACUUUUCAAGCUCCGUUCAGCACAUGAUGUCAGACACCUCUAGAGGCACGCAGGGCACUGCAGAAGCCGUGGGCACAGGACCCCUGGCCUGGGGAGUGUGCUGCAGCUUCUCUGGAGAGAACACCUCUGAGGAACCCACCCACUGGGACGAAAGCCUCGGGAACCGGAAGCUCCCAGAGAAGUGAGCAGAGGGGCUGAGUGGGCCUGACUGUCUCUGAGGGGGAAUUGACAGCUUACCUUUGCCUGGGCCUUUGGUUAUGAUGAUAACUCGCAUUUUCUGUGCUCCUAGAACGUAGCUUUAUGUAACUGUCAUCAUAGCACCGGAGUAGCUCAGAUAGCAUUGUUUGCUUUUUCUUUUUUCUUUUAUUAUUGAAGUAGAGUUGAUUUACAAUGUUGUGUUUGUUUCAGGUAUCACGUAAGUGAUACAUACAUACACGGAUACUCUUUUUCAGAGUCUUUUCCCAUAAAGGUUAUUCCAAAAUAUUGAGUAUAGAAAUUCCUAUUGUGGCGCAGUGGAAAUGAAUCCGACUAGUAACCAUGAGGUUACGGGUUCGGUCCCUGGCCUCGCUCAGUGGGUUAAGGAUCCGACGUUGCCAUGAGCUGUGGUGUAAGUUGCAGACAUGGCUCGGAUCCUGCCCGGCGUUGCUGUGGCCAUGGCGUAGGCCAGCGGCUACAGCCUUGAUUCAACCCCUUGUCUGGAAACCUCCAUAUGCCGUGGGU